GAUGAACGCUGGCGGCGUGCCUAAUACAUGCAAGUCGAACGAGUGGCGGACGGGUGAGUAAAACGUGGGGACCUGCGCUGCACUUCGGGAUAAGCCGGGGAAAAUGGGUCUAAUACCGGAUAGUGUGGGAUGGGCCUGCGGCCUAUCAGCUAGUAGGUGGGGUAAAGGCUCACCAAGGCGACGAUCUCUAGCUGGCCUGAGAGGAUGAUCAGCCACACUGGGACUGAGACACGGCCCAGACUCCUACGGGAGGCAGCAGUGGGGAAUAUUGCACAAUGGGCGCAAGCCUGAUGCAGCCAUGCCGCGUGUAUGAAGAAGGCCUUAGGGUUGUAAAGUACUUUCAGCGGGGAGGCGUUACCCGCAGAAGAAGCACCGGCUAACUCCGUGCCAGCAGCCGCGGUAAUAC
rnacentral:rRNA from 1 species